ACGAGUUCGGUGCUGGUCUUGUGGAGGAAGUCGCGGCGUGCAUCCCGGACGCGAGCGUGUUUGCGCGCGACCUUCACCCGCUGGCGGGCUCGGUUCUCCGAUCCCUUCUUCAUGCGGGACAGGCGGCGUUGCUGGCGGCGCAGCCCGCGUUCGUGGCGGGCCAUGUGGCGCGGGUUGGCGAUCUUCUCCCCGGUCGACAGGACAGCGAAGUCCUUGAUGCCGAGAUCAACACCUACCGAUUCGCCAGCGACGGGCAGGGGUUGGGGGUCGGGCUGGUCGACAGCGAAGCUCACGAACCAACGUCCGUCGGGUUCACGGGACACGAUCACCAUCGUCGGAUCGAGCGCAGCCAGAUCGACACCGGGCCACGUCCACACAAUCCGCAGCGGCGCACUCGUUUUCGCCAGCCACAGAGCGCCGUCCUUGAUGCGGAACGCCGAGCGGGUGAAGUGCGCGGACUGCCGCCCGUGGCGGUUCUUGAAACGCGGGUACUUCGCGAGGCCCUUGAAGAACGCGGCGAACGCACUGUGUUGGUGGCGCAGCGUCUGCUGCAACGGCACCGACGACACCUCCGACAGGAACGCCAGAUCCUCGG
rfam:Nocardia farcinica IFM 10152 DNA, complete genome.